UACGGGGGGAGCAAGCGUUGUUCGGAUUUACUGGCGUAAAGGGCGCGUAGGCGGUCAGCACAAGUCAGUUGUGAAAUCUCCGGGCUUAACUCGGAAAGGUCAACUGAUACUGUGCGACUAGAGUGCAGAAGGGGCAACUGGGAAUUCUCGGUGUAGCGGUGAAAUGCGUAGAUAUCGAGAGGAACACCUGCGGCGAAGGCGGGUUGCUGGGCUGACACUGACGCUGAUGCGCGAAAGCCAGGGAGCGAACGGG
rnacentral:rRNA from 1 species